GAUGAACGCUGGCGGCGUGCCUAAUACAUGCAAGUCGAGCGAACAGACCAGGAUCUUGCUGCUGUGACGGUAGCGUCGGACGGGGGAGGAACACGUGAAUAACCUACCUAUAGGACUGGGAUAAGGUCUAGAAACCGGAGAUAAGACCGGAUAAUAGAUUGAACCGCAGGGUGCAAUAGGUGAAGGCGGUUUUGCUGUCACUGAUAGAUGGAGCGGCGCCGCAUUAGCUAGUUGGUAAGGUAACGGCUUACUAAGGCAACGAUGCGUAGCCGACCUGAGCGUGUGAUCGGCCACACUGGCACUGAGACACGGUCACGACUCCUACGGGAGCAAGCAGCAGCGAAUCUUCCGCAAUGGGCGAAAGCUUGACGGAGCAACGCCGAGUGAGUGAUGAAGGUCUUCGGCUCGUAAAACUAUGUUCUUAGGGAAGACCAAAUGUGUAAGUAACUAUGAACGUCUUGACGGUACUUAAUCAGAAAGCCACGGCUAACUACGUG
rnacentral:rRNA from 1 species